rnacentral:rRNA from 1 species
GGCCCCGCACAAGCGGUGGAGUAUGUGGUUUAAUUCGAUGCAACGCGAAGAACCUUACCAGGGUUUGACAUCCUGCGAAUCUCUUGGAAACAGGAGAGUGCCUUCGGGAACGCAGUGACAGGUGGUGCAUGGCUGUCGUCAGCUCGUGUCGUGAGAUGUUGGGUUAAGUCCCGCAACGAGCGCAACCCACGUCUUUAGUUGCCAGCAUUUAGUUGGGCACUCUAGAGAGACUGCCGGUGAUAAACCGGAGGAAGGUGUGGAUGACGUCAAGUCAUCAUGCCCCUUACAUCCUGGGCUACACACGUACUACAAUGCUACGGACAAAGGGCAGCGAAGCCGCGAGGCCAAG